AGAGUUUGAUCCUGGCUCAGGACGAACGCUGGCGGCGUGCCUAAUACAUGCAAGUCGAGCGGACAGAUGGGAGCUUGCUCCCUGAUGUUAGCGGCGGACGGGUGAGUAACACGUGGGUAACCUGCCUGUAAGACUGGGAUAACUCCGGGAAACCGGGGCUAAUACCGGAUGGUUGUUUGAACCGCAUGGUUCAAACAUAAAAGGUGGCUUCGGCUACCACUUACAGAUGGACCCGCGGCGCAUUAGCUAGUUGGUGAGGUAAUGGCUCACCAAGGCAACGAUGCGUAGCCGACCUGAGAGGGUGAUCGGCCACACUGGGACUGAGACACGGCCCAGACUCCUACGGGAGGCAGCAGUAGGGAAUCUUCCGCAAUGGACGAAAGUCUGACGGAGCAACGCCGCGUGAGUGAUGAAGGUUUUCGGAUCGUAAAGCUCUGUUGUUAGGGAAGAACAAGUACCGUUCGAAUAGGGCGGUACCUUGACGGUACCUAACCAGAAAGCCACGGCUAACUACGUGCCAGCAGCCGCGGUAAUACGUAGGUGGCAAGCGUUGUCCGGAAUUAUUGGGCGUAAAGGGCUCGCAGGCGGUUUCUUAAGUCUGAUGUGAAAGCCCCCGGCUCAACCGGGGAGGGUCAUUGGAAACUGGGGAACUUGAGUGCAGAAGAGGAGAGUGGAAUUCCACGUGUAGCGGUGAAAUGCGUAGAGAUGUGGAGGAACACCAGUGGCGAAGGCGACUCUCUGGUCUGUAACUGACGCUGAGGAGCGAAAGCGUGGGGAGCGAACAGGAUUAGAUACCCUGGUAGUCCACGCCGUAAACGAUGAGUGCUAAGUGUUAGGGGGUUUCCGCCCCUUAGUGCUGCAGCUAACGCAUUAAGCACUCCGCCUGGGGAGUACGGUCGCAAGACUGAAACUCAAAGGAAUUGACGGGGGCCCGCGCAAGCGGUGGAGCAUGUGGUUUAAUUCGAAGCGACGCGAAGAACCUUACCAGGUCUUGACAUCCUCUGACAAUCCUAGAGAUAGGACGUCCCCUUCGGGGGCAGAGUGACAGGUGGUGCAUGGUUGUCGUCAGCUCGUGUCGUGAGAUGUUGGGUUAAGUCCCGCAACGAGCGCAACCCUUGAUCUUAGUUGCCAGCAUUCAGUUGGGCACUCUAAGGUGACUGCCGGUGACAAACCGGAGGAAGGUGGGGAUGACGUCAAAUCAUCAUGCCCCUUAUGACCUGGGCUACACACGUGCUGCAAUGGACAGAACAAAGGGCAGCGAAACCGCGAGGUUAAGCCAAUCCCACAAAUCUGUUCUCAGUUCGGAUCGCAGUCUGCAACUCGACUGCGUGAAGCUGGAAUCGCUAGUAAUCGCGGAUCAGCAUGCCGCGGUGAAUACGUUCCCGGGCCUUGUACACACCGCCCGUCACACCACGAGAGUUUGUAACACCCGAAGUCGGUGAGGUAACCUUUUAGGAGCCAGCCGCCGAAGGUGGGACAGAUGAUUGGGGUGAAGUCGGAACAAGGUA
rnacentral:rRNA from 1 species